UGCUAAGAAGGUUAUUAUUUCUGCCCCCAGCAAGGAUGCUCCCAUGUUUGUUGUUGGUGUUAACGAGCACGAGUACAAGCCAGAGCUUGAUAUCAUUUCCAAUGCCAGCUGCACAACCAACUGCCUUGCUCCUCUCGCCAAGGUUUGCUGUUUGCCUGAUUCCGUGUAGUAUAUUUUGUUUUGUUGUUUUGUGACUAUUAUAAUUUUAAUAUUUUCUUGUUAAUUUUGCAGGUUAUUAAUGACAGAUUUGGCAUUGUUGAGGGUUUGAUGACCACAGUUCAUUCCAUCACCGGUGAGUCUCUCUCUGAAUGGUUUUCCUGUUGCAUGUUUUGGCUCAUACAUACUAAUUACUAAGUCUGGUUUAUGUUAUUGUUUUGCAAACCAGCUACCCAGAAGACUGUUGAUGGACCAUCAGCCAAAGACUGGAGAGGUGGAAGAGCUGCUUCAUUUAACAUCAUUCCUAGCAGCACUGGAGCUGCCAAGGUGAAUAUUUCAUCCAAUGUAGUUUGGUGUUUCUGGCUUUGCCAUAAGGUUGAUGUUUAAUUGUUACAGACAACUCUAUUUUUGAUUUUUACGAUUCUUAUUUUUCUGUGCCAAGGCUGUUGGGAAAGUCCUUCCUUCUUUGAAUGGAAAAUUGACUGGAAUGGCAUUCCGUGUUCCCACCGUGGAUGUCUCCGUUGUUGACCUCACAGUGAGGCUGGAGAAGAGUGCCAGCUAUGACGAAAUUAAAAAUGCUAUCAAGUAAGGGCAGAAUACUCUUAUUGAUAUUGUGGUGCUGCUGAAUCUUAUGCAAAUUUUUGUGACUCUUGUUAUUCGAGAUCCAAUUCAAGUGGUGCGCCCAGUUUUGGGAUUGGUCCUUGCGCACUGUCUAAUAUAAAUGUUGUCUUUUACAGGGAGGAAUCCGAGGGCAAGUUGAAGGGAAUUCUUGGUUACACCGAAGAUGAUGUGGUCUCCACCGACUUUGUGGGUGACAGCAGGUAUAUAAAUUUUGCCACAGUUGUGAAAUUAUUCAUACAUGGCAGCUGUAGUGAUGCUUAAUGUCCAAGUUUUUGUUACCUUUUUUUUUUCACAUUAUUCAUGUACCUGUUACUGAACCCUUUUGUCUUAUUUUUGUUUCAGAUCAAGUAUUUUUGAUGCAAAGGCCGGAAUUGCAUUGAACAAAAAUUUUGUGAAACUCGUCUCGUGGUACGACAAUGAGUGGGGAUACAGGUAAACCACCUUAAACCUUUCUUGUGUAGAACAGAGUGGUAGUGCGUCAUGUAACAGAUUUUUAGUUGAUCAAUUAACCCAAUUAGUAAUUAAAUUUGGCCAAAAAUCUAAUCAUGCUAAUUAUAUAUGCUUUAUUAUCAUUAUAUCAUUAUUACUUUUAUUAAUUCAGCUAGAUCUUAUACCUGCUGUGUUCCUGGUCUUGCAGCUCACGUGUGAUUGACCUGCUUGUUCACGUUGCCAAGAACUCUCUUUAAGCUGGUACUGCAUGGUAGCAUGUCUACACGUUAGUACCGUAUGUUUACUUUUAGCUGCGAUUUUAGUGUCUUGCUCAUGCAAAAAUGAGUAGUCUGAAUAAAUCAGGAACCAUUGUUGUUACCCUGCUAGGAGCUUUAAGCUCUUUUUUUGUUUACCCUCUUCUGUGUGGGGGAGGGGAUUGAGCUUUUGGCUUUUUAUGUACUUUGCUGUUGUACUCGGCUUUAUAUAUCUUUCUGCGCAUGUUUUUGCACAUUUAAACAUGGGAUUCUAAGUUAACUUUUUUGGUUUUAUAAAACUUAAACGUGGUUGGAUCAGUUUAUGAUUAAUUUUUUAUGGAAAUAUUCUCGAAAAGUUAUACAAAGUUGUUAUUCCUUAAACUUCGAGACAAAACGGCCGUUCAUUUAUUCACUUAGCCAGUCCUGGUUUUUAAUUUAAAGUGAUGAUGUACCAACAAGGUGGCUGAAUUUGCGAUCAUUACCUCAUAUUCCUUUGGAUCAUGUUAGAUUAUAAGAUUUUUCUUGUUUAACUUUUUUCUAUUUGUCUGUGUGUAUUUCACUAUCGUAUUGCGUAUUGUCCAAGUCUGAUUACUCAUUGGAUUACCAUUUUAAUACCGUCUAUUGUUGAUUAUGUUGCUGUACUCUAGAGAUGAACGAAACAGGUGCAAAAUAAUUCAGGAAAUGGAAAGCCUUCUGUACAAAAUAAUUUAGUGAAAGUUUAAAAUUAUUAAAUACUUUAAAUUAUGAAAACUUUACAAAGCUUUUAAAAUGACACGUGUAUAUGAACAGCGCUCACACAAGUAGCACGUUUAUGUGGGCAUAUUUUUGUUCAUAGGUUUAAUUUUAAAUUUUUAAUACAAUUCUUGUAUUUAAAUGGUUAAUUUGUAUAGGAUUUGUGGAUAUGUUUACGUUUUCAUUUUAGGUUUAAUUUUAAGUUUUUAGUGCAAUUCUUGUAUUUAAAUGAUUAAUUUGUAUAAGAUUUGUACAAAUGGAUUUAUCAAGUUUGUAAAUAAAAAAGUUAUUUUUAUUAUUUUUAAAUGUUAAAAUAUUUGUUGAUUAAUCUGUAUAGGAAUUUACGUGGAGUUAAAUGCACCAAGUAUGCCCAUUUUUUAACAAUGGACAACACAAGCAACAUUUAUUGCCACACUACCUAAUUUUUUAUACAUAUUUGUACAAUACAUAUUUCUUCUUCUUCACCACACCUACAGAAAUCAAAUUCACCAGCCAACGAAAUACACAACCGAAACCAAGUUUAGCCACUGGAGCGUGCCUCCAUCAAUGCAGAAGCCCCUCUUCAAAACGUGGAACCCUGAUUUCUGGGAUCCUGAUUUUUGGGAGAAAAAGGGGACUACUACAUGGUAUCCCUGAACAAUCUUCUCAGGUCAAAAUUGGCCAAACAGUCAACCUUGGUCAAUGGUCAAAGAAAAAGGACUAAAGCAUAAUUAGAGAAAAAAUUUGGACUUUUUUACAAUUUUGAAACAAUAAGGAGGGUUAAUUUUGAUUAUUGAUGUAGGAUAUCUUUUUUCUAUGUCUUUUAUCUCUCCAUCAAGUCAAAAGUAAUAAUUUUUAUAUCAAAAGGUAUUUUAAUCUAUAUUUAUAUUGAUCAUAUGAAUUUAAUGGUUUCUAUUUUUGAUUGAAAAUGUACUUUGAUUAAAUUUAAGAACUUUGAUAUAAUUAAAUCAAUUUUGCUAUCAAUUGAGGAUGUGCUUUAAUAGGUGAUAAGAAUUUUAACAAUAAUUAAUUGAUAAUUUAUUUUAAUUAAUUAGCUUUUAAUUUGGUUAGAAGAUUUAAGAACAAACAUGAUUAAAUACAAUAAAAUUUAAUUGAGAAUAUACUUUGUUGAAUUUAUUUUGAAUAAUCUAAAAAAGUCGAGAUUCUAUUUUGAUUAAUUGUAAGAUCAUUUCCAAAUUAAUUAAUAAUAUAUUUUAAUUAAUUUGAAACUCAAAAAAUAAUCAAUUGAAUAAUAAUUUGUUAAGCGAGGAUGAAUCUAUUUUGGAUAAAUAGUGAAAUUAGUCUAUUUUAUUAUUGUUGUUUCUAAAUUUUUUAUUUGUUUUUCAAUUAAAUUUACAACAUUCUUCGUUAUAAAUUUCAUUAGUAUAGAUUUUUACUUUUAUUUUUAAAUAUUGCAUAACAUUUUAUCUUUUGGAUUCUUCAUAGUAUUUAAAAAUCAAUUUAGUAUUCGUUGAAAAACUACUCAAGAUUACUUUAUUUCUAUCUUGUUUGUUGAUUACUAACCUGAAAAUACUGAAAUUGUCUUGUAAAAUAGUAUUAAUUUGAUAAUUUCAAGUAUCAUACAUUUCUAAUAUUUGUAAAGCCAAAUUUUGAAUUUUAAGUUCAAUAUAUAAUUUUGACUUCAUAACUAAGAAUAUCUCAAUAUUUUUUACAAGAAACUAUUGUUUUAAUGUGAGAUUUACUCGUCUGGGUUCUUUAAAAAUUUAGGAAAGAUAUAUGACGAUAUCUUUUUUUAUUAUUUUAAGCUUUUGUUUAUGUUGUUACGAUAGUAUUAGUAAUAGAAAUGUGAAGGUUCAAAAAUGUAAAAUAGGUUUUUUGUCUUUUUAAAAUAUUUGAAAUUCAAUUUUAGCAUUUUAGAAAAAUGAUAAAAAAAAAUUAUCAAAAUGUGUGGGUUUAUGCAGUAUAAGUAGAUUACGAAUAACUUUUCACUCCUUUAAAAGUGUAUGGUAUAAAGUGUAAACCAACGUUUAACAUUCAGGACUGUUCGGUUCAUCAAUGGUCAAUCAAGUCAAAUGAUUUUAUUUUAUGAGUGACUAACCGAAUCUAAAAGUAAAUUUGUUUUUAUUUUAUUGGAUUUGUGUUAGUUUAGUAUCCAUAAAAUGACUUAUAAAUAUAAGGUGAGGGACAAAAAUCCAAGAUACUCAAUUGUAUAAGUAAUUCAUUGAAUAUUUAAUUAUAAGUAGAAACUCUUUAAACACACGACUAACUUGAACAUCGGAAAGUCAGAUACAGUCCUACAAAUAUAUACAAAAAGUAUAUUAUUUUAUGUAAUGGAUUUAAAAAAUUCCAUCUGUUUUCGUUAGUUUUUCGCUCAUGCCGCUCAGCGGCAGUAAAAAAAGUUUGUUACCUCUGUUUUUUAACAUUUCCAAAAUAUACUUUGACAAACUGGUACAUAAAUCAAUGUCCAAUCAUAAGUUCACAAACCAAAAGAUUUGUUGAGUUUACGUUUGGAAUAAAUUCUUUGUACUAUACAUAGGUUUUAAUGUAAUUAGAAUGAAUUCUAUUCGAUUUAAAAACCAAAGAAAUGCUUAGUGGGAAGUUCUAGAUUUACGAAGUUGUUUGAGGAAGAAAAUCUGAAUUGAGUUUGAGAUACGCAAAUAAUGAGAAGAGGACAAAAGUACACGGUGAAACAAGGAAGGCAGGCAUGUCCUAUUAUCCCAAUCUUGGGACAUUUCAUUGUUUUGUUGAAUCAAAUAUCUGGCACCCUCUAAUCGCUGCCACAUCUUUGGAACCCUAAAAAUAAAGCAAAAGGCGAGUAUGUGGCUCCAAAAUUUAAAGCCACACAUCUAUGCGAACAUUUAAAUCCUUUGUGCCCACUGAAUCUGAUCCACUUCCUUUCGUUGACCUUUUAAAACACACCACAAACCGAAUAGUGUUGCAUACUUACGCCAACCAUCUAUUCACCCUACAUUUGUUUAUUUUUUCUGUAAUAUGAAAUAUAUCAAUAGAAAUGAAUGGUCAUUUAUGGUCAUUAGCAUGUUUCAGAUUCUCUUUAGUUUUACAAAUAUACUAUGUUAAUAAUUUAUUAUCGUAUUUCAUCAUCUUAUUUUCCAAAUAUACUAUAUUAAUAAUUGAUUAUCGAGUUUCAUUCUUUAAAAAUAUAUUGUAUUAAUCAAGGAGUUUGGGAGUCACAAGUCCUAUAAAUAUAUAAUUGAUGUUUAAGUAAAAACAUCAUUUUCUAUCCUGAUAAAAUAGUAACCUCUUUAGUAAAUAUAUCUGAUUGUCAACAAACCAUCAUAGUGUAUUGCAUUUUUUGAAGAGAAUUAAACGAUUAAAAAGCAAAACAAACAAGGACAACCGACCCUCACAUCAAUUUAACCAAAAUACUAUAAUUAUUAAAUUUCAUCUUUUUAAUACAUUGAAUUAGUUUUCAGCAAAUAUGGAGUUAGUUUUUAUAAUUUAAGGCUAUGCUAGACCCAAAUAUUUGUUGGUAAAAAUAAAGUGAGUGGACUUUUUUCCACAAGUUAAAAUUUGGUUAUGCAUGCAGUUUUAUAAAACACUAACCUUUUCAAAUGUUUGUUUAUAUAGGUUAAUUUUAGCCUAUAAAAGCAAUUUAUUUUAAUUUCUUCUUUUGCUUCUGAAAUUUUUUUGUUUAAACGGAUUUGACAACUGAAAUACUAAAUUUAUUUCUUUUAAUAUAACUUUUUAAUAUAAUGAAUAAGAAGAUUACUUCAUUCCGUUGCAACAGAAUAUGCGCUCACGUUUUAUUGGAUGAGAAUUAAACACAAAAUUACGAAAUCAAAUGAUGUUUGCGGAAAUUACACGCUUACUUUGUAAUAUAUGAUUUUUUUUUGUCAAUUUUGUGCAACCCUUAUUUCUGUCGGUUAUCCUUUUUUUAAUUAUUAAUUUAUUGUAAAACAUGAUUUAAAAACAUAAACUUGAUGUUCUGUAAACAUUUAAAUAUUUGCGUUUUUAUUAACAUAAAAUUCGUGGGCCCUUGCAUAUUUUGCAAAACGCUUAAAUAAAAAUAAAAGUAUCUGAUUUUAUUCUUUGUAUUUUUCGUUAUAUAUUUAUCAGAAACUACAUUUAAACUCAAUUUUCAUAAUGGUUUUUUGUAGAGCUGUCAAAAUGAUUCAUAACUCGCUGGUCAACCCGGUCUGUCACGGAUUUGAGCUAAGUUGGGUUUGAAAAUAGGGAGUUGAUCCUUCCACCUCCCCCGAUUUGACCCUCCACUUCCCCAAAUUUGUAUAACCUUCUUUUAAAUACAAAAAUAACCUUUUUUUUAUUUUUAUUUUACCUUUUUAAUCCUAUUUAAUAGUAACCCUAAUUUUCUAUUUUCUAAUCAAAUUUCCAUAGCACCCCCACCUCCCCUUCCCUUCUCUCGGAUUCUGACCACCACAGUAAUCGCUCAUGCCGGAGAUGGUAAUUUCCACACGGUUAUUCUAUUUGAUCCUAGCCAAGAAGAACAUCGACGGGAGGCAGAGAAACUCAACCAAUUUAUGGUUCGUGCUGCCUUGUCAUUGGAAGGUAUUAUCAUUAACUUGUUGACUCUUGCUGUUACAUGUUAGUAUGGUAUUUCAGGUGCUUUUUAAUAUUCUUUGUUUUUUUUCUAAAAAUCAUAAAGUCGGUAAAGUCGUUGUAAUUUUGAAAUUCGCAUAUGGUUAUUCCAAACAGGAACUUGUACGGGUGAACACGGUGUUGGCACUGGAAAAAUGAAGGUACUGCACUAGUGAUUCUAAUAAAUCUUAAAAACAAUAUGAUGUGUUUAGGCUAUUAGCUUUAGAAAACAAUCUUUGACACUAAUCUGCCUGCUCCGCUCGACUGCAAAAUGCCUUGUUUUAUAUUAAGAUAUACAAUAAAUAAGCCGAUCAUGUUUUACGCAGUGGUUGUUAUUAAUAAUCAUAAUUUACAUAGAAAGAUUGUCGGCAGACGAUCAUGUUUUGAUGGUUUAUGGUUAUUUAAGAACAUAUUUUAUUUUCAAACGCAGUAUUCGAUAAAUUUUAUAAUUAUAAGUUUGGUUAUGAAAGUGUACUUCAUGCAGUAUCUUGAAGAAGAACUUGGAGUGGAAGCAUUGAAAAUAAAAUUUUAAAUAGGUUAUGUGGGGGUGAGUAAAUGAAAUCAUAAAAUUUUAACUCUAAAUAUAAAAUUUUACUAAAGAAUAAAAUAGGAAUAGAAAAAAUAGAGCAAAGGGUAAAAAUGGAAGGGAGAGGUGUAGGGAGCAACUAGGGAGGUGCAGGGAGUAACUCCCUUGAAAAUAUUAUAUUUUUUUAUGUGGGUCAGAUUUCAACCCGACUCAUUUAAACCCGGCUCAUGCGGGUUGAAUCCGUGGUGGACCGAAUUGGCCCACCAACCUACCUACCUAAAUUUAUUUUAUUAAAAUUCAAUUUUAAUUUUAUAAAAAAAUAUUUAUUAUUUUUUUAUGCUUGAAAAAAUUAUUUAGGUUCUCUAUUUUCAAAAAUAAUUAUACAUCCAUGUUGGAAGUGAAAUUUGGAAGUGAAAUUUGUUUAGGUUUGAAUUAUAGAAACUUUGUAAUUCUUUUAUUUAAAAAAAUUGUAAUUAAGGGACCAGUGAGCCAACCCGUUUACCCAACAACCCGUGGUGGGUCGAGCCGGGUUCGAAAUUUUCUAGCUCGCUAAUAAACGAGCCAGGUUGGGUUGACUCACUAAGUGACCAACCUGUGGUAGUUCGGGUCAAGUCGAGCCGGGUUACCUGUUUUAACAACUCUAGUUUCUUGUGCCCACAUAUUGGAAUGGUCUAAAAUUGUAAGUAUUGAUUGAGGUUAAUAAUAAUAAUAACAGAAAUCAUUUAUUCAUUUAUGAAAAUUAACUUUACCUUGAUCAUAAGAAAAAUUAUCUCAUCAAUCUCAAGCAGAUAGUUGAUGUUGACCUUAGGAAUCUAGUUGAUCUAAUAUCCACUCAACAUGGAAAAUAUUAGAAGAAAAAUUACUUUGGUCAACAUUACCCCUAAAUGCAUGUGUGGGAAGUAACAUUCCUCAAGAAUAACCAAAACAACCUUAAACCAACAUUUUAGAAUUUCAUUCCUUGCAUUAUUCAAGAAUGUGAAAGAUAAAGUGAGUUUAUAGAGUAUUAUAUUAUUUUUUGUAACAUAUCAAUGAAUUAAAGAAGGUCUAAAGGAAAAAUAAUAAGCUCAAAAUGACCUAGAGUAAUGUAUAUAAUUGAUAGGGUGACCAUUACCACAAAAACCAAAUCUCACAUCAUAAUGAUGAAACCCAAUGGGGUGUAAUUCAUGUCAAACAUGUAGUUUGAUCGGUUUCUGCACCAUGUCAACAUUGUUUUACAUAUUACAUUUUCAUAGUCAAAGAUAGUAGAAAAAUAUUGAAUCCAUCCUCUAUCAGAUAAUAUUAUAUACUCAGGGGAAAACAUUACAUUAGACAAUUUUUUUAUGUUGUUCAUUGAAUUUAUAUAAGGAGACUGAAAGUAUCUAAGAGGAAAAAUAUUUUUUUAUAAAACACACUUAGAUUAUUUUAUUAUUAAAAAAUUCAAAUUAUAAAUAAAAAACUAGUUAAUCAAGCCUCUAACAAUAAUUUUUUUUUUCCUAUCAGCACUCCAAAAAUAAUUUUAGAUUAAAACUAUAUAAUGAUGCUUAUAUUUGUACUACAAUUUGAAUUCGGUUCUGAAGCUUUAAGUAGUAUAAAUUAGGUCAAUAUUUUUGCAAAUGUGAUACAAUUUGGCCAUUUCUGUUAGUACAGUACUAACGAUGUUAAUUUAGUGUCACGUGUUAGUAUGUGAUUUUAUUAUUUUUAUUUUUUUUUCAAAAAAAAGGAAAUUUGUCACUUCUCAAAUGAGGAUGAGAGAGGAAUUUUAUUUUGAUUGACGUGACAAAAGUCAUCAUUAGAUUUGUUAAAUAUGAUAUGCUCAUAUGCAUGUAAAUGCUUGUAGAAUAUCUAUAUUUCAAUGAUGUCAUGCAAGUCAUCCUUUAAUUUGUACAUCUUAGACUGUUGACUCUCUAUACGCUUUUAGAAGGUAUUGGUAUGUAUUGGGUCAGAUUCUUUCAACUAUUUUCGAACUUGGUGAUCUAGAUUAAUCAAGUGUUAUCUUUAAUUAGCUUUAUGGUUCCCAUGGGUUCAAAUAAGGACUCCUAGGUGUGUUUAAUGUCUCCUAAACGAUAUGUGGUAUUUAGACACUUGUUUUGAGUUGAUCAAUUCUUUCCUUCCUAAUUCAAUAUUAAUGCAUUCAAUAAGGAUGAAUGGGAGACAAGCACAUGUAUAUACUUGUAUGUCUACAUAUCUACAAAAUAGGAUUCGACCAAUGUUGUGUAGUGAGUUAUUUCAUAGCUGAGAGUGGUAAGCAUGCUUUUUUCUUCCUUGAUUUCUGCCUUUACCUCGUUUUUCUUUUGUUUUCAUGAUUGCCUCCUCCAUCUAACUCGUCUUGCUUGGGAAUGAAUACCUUUUUUUGUGUUGUGUAGUGUCAAGAGUCAUUUCCUUGGUCUCAUAACCAGUGUUUCCACUCGAUCAUCUAACAUCAGAGAGUUUGAGAAUUUGAGCUUUUGGUACCCACCUGACCUUACAGUCUUUCUUAUUAGUCGUGUUAGCCAGAGACUUUACACAUGAUUGGAAUCUAAGUUUGGGAGUGUUUUCUUUUGUUCUUGCAAAAUGAUUUAAUUUGUUGCUGAUUUCUCUUACCUCUUCUUGAUGCAUAUGAUUUUUGCUUUUUCUGAUAAGCAUUUUCAAGCCCCUAUUAUCACCAUAUAUUUUGUGUAGCUCAACAACUAAUAUAUGGUUAUCCUGUAUAAGACGGUUGAGACAUCUGAUGUCUUUUGCAUUUGUUGUGUCUUUGACCAACUUUUCGUGUUUCAAUAUUGAUUUGUCCUUUUCUCUUCUCGAGAUAGUUAGUUCAUCUUUUAUCUUAGUGAUACUCAUUUGAAGUUCCCUUGUUUCCUCCUUAGACGAUGUGAGUUCUUUGCUUAGCUCAUCAUUUUCUUUUGAAAAUCCUUUAGCUUGUAUCUUCAAUAUUUGAUAAAUCUUGGUCAAUCUUAUGCAUUUUGUUAAAAAUCUGUCGUAGGCUUCAAUGACUAAUUGUAGAUCAAAAAAGUCUAUUUCACAAUUAUUGUCUUCUGAGUGAUACAUGAGGUCACCUACUUCGUCUUCAGGGAUUUAAUUGGUGCUCUUGAAGUUUUCUAAAGUUGUGUUGUUCCUUAUGUGUGAGUUGUUGUAAAGAUGAUGGAGACCAUCGAGGUUGCACUUGUUGUUUCCCAUAUUUUAGAAUUAUUUCCUUGAGUUCGUUUAAGAACUAACUAAACGAGGUUAGCUCUGAUACCAAUAAAAGUACCUGAAAAACACUAGAAGGAGGGGCAGGGGGGGGUGGGGUGUUGAAUAAUGUUAGUGAAAAAAUUCUUUUUGUAACCCUUAUGAUAAAACACGUUGUCAAGUUUUGAGUUUUUCUGAUAAACACUUAGAUGCUCGACAUAAUAAGUGAUUAUAAAAGAUAGGUGCUUUUAACAUGCUAUUUAGAAUUUACACUGCAGAGUUUAUAAGAACUUCCUUUGCUGAUGAUUAGUCAUUUAGUGCGGAAGGUUCUUGUAUUUAGAAAUAAAAACAUGGCUGCAGGUUUUAUAAGAGAAGCGUUUAGACAAGAGAAGAGGUAGUUGCACAAAUAAUUUUAUAUUGGUUCACUCCAAUUGAGCUACAUUUAGUCUCUUCCACAAAGGUCUCCGUUGUAAUCUUCAACAAGAUUACAACUAAGUAUUCACACCACUCCUGAUCUCCUUAGUUAGCGAAUAACCUAUAGUUACCCUAAAAUGAAUGAGUAUUCUCACCACUCAUGGUCUCCUCAGUCAACGAAUAACCUCAUGUUAUCCUAGACUUAAUAAGUAUUCUCACCACUCCUGGUCUCCUUAGUUAGUGAAUAAUCUCCUGUUACCCUAGACUAGAUGAGUAUUCGCACCACUCCUGGUACUAAGCAACCUUGCCUAGAUUUCCUUAACUUAACUAAGUUCAACAAGUAUUUUAAUUAUCUUCAUAAUUAUAAUCAGCGAUUGCUUACAAGUCGUUUAAACUAUUACUCUCGUAGAGAGGAUGUGAUUACAAUACAAUGCAAUUUAAACACUCACAGGUGUUUCUCCCUUUUCAUUUUAUCUCUUCCUUAUAAUUAGUAAACAAUAAUACGAUGAAGCUCGAGAGUAUUGCCUUUCUUCUUUUCUCUUCUUCUCUUUUUCUGCUCCGAUAUUUUCUUUUUCUUGAGCUCUUUCUGUACUUCUCUUUUGAAUGCUUCUUAAAUGAUGAAUAUUUCAUUGUAUGUUAUCCUCUUGUUCUUCUCCUGAUUCUUCAUUUGAAUGAUCUUUUAUUUAAAGGCUUUUUGGAUAAGUGUCCAUUAGACUAAGCAUUUGGCCUUGAUUCUUGUGUCUUCUUUUUCUUUGUGUAGAGUAACUGUUGGUUAAUUUCAACUUGUUAGAGUAGUCAUGCUUUUUCAGUACUUUGCUUGAAGUAGGUUGUACUUUCUUUUAGACAACGGUUCAAGUGAAGAACAUUCUGUGAAUAUCUCUUUUGUCUCUAAUGUUCACUUUUGAUAUUUUAAUUUGAAGCUUGUGGAUGCAUGUAUAGUAGCUCCUCUGCAAAGAAUAAAGUAGAUUGUGCAUGUAGCAAAUAUAUUUUUUCUUAUCACUUUUGUUGUUUUUGAAUGUUGAGCAUUUAAUGUCAUUUAAUGCUUGCUCAGAACAACAAAGUGCUUUUUGAUUUCCUACCGUUUAAGUAGAGUUUAACAAUUAAGCUUUUCUUCUAAAGAUACCAAGUGUUAAGUAAAGACUUCUUCGUUGGAUGAAGUAAUACUUUAGCUCAUGGUAUCAUUUAGACUGAGUAAAUGCUUCCCGUGAUUUUGCCUCUUUAUAUAGAUAACGUUUAACAUUGUUUGUGUUUUCUUUGAUGUUUUAAGUUUUAGUAUUUUAGAGUGUUUUUUUCAAUGAUAUUGUCUUGACAUUGGUUCGUUUUCCCGAAAGUUAAACUAAAUACCCUUUGGGUAUGAUAAGCUUUACGCGUUUAGCUUCAACUAACUUAGAAACUUUUUACUUAACAGUUGUUUGGCGUUGUGUCUGAGUGUUUUGACUUUGUUGUUUUUAUGUUUUCUAAAACCCCAAGUCUUUUCCUAAUCGUUUAUGUUUUGAGGAUUUCAGUUCUAAGUCUUAUGUUACUUCCUAUGGUUUUUCCAAAUUAUUAUUUUGUUUAAUGUUCUUUGGUUAAACUUCAAAACAUGAGAACAUUUAUGUGUAUAAACGAUUUUACUUAACAAAUGAAUGGAUCAUGAAGAACAAAUUGGAGACUAUGGAUAAUAGAAUGAAUGGAAAGAUGAAGGUACUUAUGAAAUAUGGUGCGUAUGGUGCAGGUUAUGGUACAUAUGGAGCUAGGACAAAUGUUCCAAUUAAGGAGAGAGGCUAAAAGGAACUCUCAAACUCUCUCACUGUGACUUUCAAGAAGGGAAACUACUCUAAAGUGAUCUCAACAGAGAUUAUCUUCAUUAAUCUCAAAAGUAAUGGUUUACAUGAGAAGAGCUUGGAUUUAUAGUUCUUCUAAACCUCUUGUGGUGCAACUAAGAAGCUGAUAAUCAAUCGUAACACAUGAAGAUGAUGCCACAUGAAAGGCCACAUUUUACAUAUAUAAGACACGUGCAAAACAAAACAGAAACGUGGUGCAGGUGCUCUUCGCCAACGUUAGGCACAAAGUUGUUGCUGUUGAGUGCGAGAUCCUUAUGUUGGAUGAAUGGGGUUUGCUGAAAGUUGGUGCUGAGCACCCAACAGGUUGCGCUAAGCGGUCUGAACUUGGCAACAAUGUGUAAACUUGUCCUCUUGAUCCUAGAUCUUGGCAAGAUUGUCUAGGGCUUUGAAAAGAUGUCUUAGAGCUUUAUUAGGUGUAUCUGGAUGGUUUUAGGUUUUGGAAGAUAGGUCUUGAAGGGUAUUUGGGUUGAUCUUGAACUUGCAUUCUUCCAGCUAGUUGACCUCUCCUUGGUCAAACUCCUACUAUAGGGUCUAUGGCUUUGAUUGAAGUCAUCAUAUAGUCUUACUAUGUGUUGAUGUUAUUGAUUUGACAAGAUGUAGUGAGGCCUUAACGAUUGAGAUAUAAAUGUUGUAUUAGUGUCUUAAUGUUUAUUCUGUUAGUUCACCCAUACUUGUUUGCAUGUGUGGCGAUGAUCGUAUAACCUUUGUGUUAUACGAGAGUAGAUGCAAAUAUUUCAUGUGUUGAUUAAACGCUUGCAGAGGGGAAUUGUUAUCUCAAGUUCCGUGUGAAAUGUAUUUUUUAGGAAAAGGAUUUUAAGAAUUUAUGUAUUGGUUUAGAAUUGAAUUUUAAUAUUUGGCUCUGUAAAUAUUAAUUAACAUUUGAAUUUGUUAAAUACAUUCAAGUUAUGCUUUUGAGGAUUUUUAUAGUGUUGCAAAAAAAAAAAGGUUUUUAAGUUUAAGGCGUUUUAAUGACUUCUAAAAUUGGGGUGUUACAAUGGUUUUAUAUAAACUCGUUGGGCGAGCUAAAUCAUCACUAGAGGAAAAUGAAAAAUUAGAAAUCCAAUGAGCUCUAAACAUUGCACUAGCUAAGUGAGCCAGAGCGAGUUGGACGAGUCAAGUGAAAUGGACUUCUAGGGCUUGGUCAUUAAGUAAGCGUUAUUGUUGCUAGAUGAAAAAUAUUUUGAAAAAUCUAGAAAGCUUAGGGUGGUUACUGUCAUUAGACGAAUAUGCAAUAUUUGUGCUCUAAUAGAUGGUCGUUAGGUGAGUUAGUUCUCUGUUGAGCAAAAAAUAAUUUUAGAAAUUCUAGAGAGCUCAUAGAGAACUGAAUGUUGAGCGACAUAGAGAAUCACUAAAUAAGUAUACUUCCUAAAUUUAGUCUUUAGGCGUGCCUGUUGCUUUGAAAAAAUCCCAACUACUCUUAUUGGCUAAGCUAAAGAGUUCACUUAGGAUAUGUUCACUUGAGGGUAUUUGGAGGAGAUGAUUUGGGAGAGAGUGAUUGAAUGGAUUUGAGGGUAAAUUUUUGGUUAUUUGUUUGAGUGGAUUUGGAGGUAAUUGAUAGUGGAUUUGGAAGUAACAUUUGUGAGAAUUAGUGUAGGAUUUGAUUGAUGUGACUCAUUUAAAAAAUUUGUUUAAUUGGUAGAAAUUAAAGAUUACCAAAAUGUCCAUAAUUAUUAAAGUAAUAUAAAAUGAUAAUUGUUAAUGUUAUAUUUAAAUGUAAAAAUAUUUAUAAAAAGAAAAAAAUAAAAAUUAAUUUUUAAAAUUUAAAAAAUUGUAAUUUAAUAAAUUGAAAUAACUUUUUUAAUAAGUUUAGCUAUUUAGUAAAUUGAAAUAAUUUUUUUAUAAGAGAGAAAAAAUUAAAAUUAAUUUUGAAAAUAAAAUAUAUUUGUAUUUAUGUAAAAUAAAUAAUUAUGUGAUAUUUAAUUAUUGUUAUUAAUAAGAUAUUUAAUUAAGAAAAAUAAAAUAAUGUAAUUAGCUAUUAUAUAUAUAUAUAUAUAUAUUUUAAUUAAUUAUUCCUUAAUCCUAAUAAAUAUAAUAUUAAUUAAUAAUAAUAUUUGAAGGCAUUUAAAACAUAAAAUAAAAUUUAUUAUUUUUUUAUUGCUUUUUCAAUGUUGGUAAAAGACUAGGCAGAUGGUAUAACAAAGUUAUACAAACAAUAAUUUUUUUCUAUUUGUGUUCUUCGUCAUUUUAUUUUAACUGCUUCCAAACAAUGAUUCAGAAAUCUCAAAACAUACACCAUCAUUUAACAUGUUUCCCUUUCUGGCCACCCUUUCCUUUGUUGUGCCUACCACCGUCUUUUUUUCAUGGGCCACGACACGCCACGCGGUUGUCGCACGCCAUAGCCAAAAGCUCGCAGUCAGAAGCUCUUGAAGCUAGUCGCUCAAGGACCUUGUUUUUGCCAUAUUCGUUUUCACUCGUAAUGGUGUUGUGGCUUUUGGCAUCAGAGCUGGUGAGCAUUUACGCAUGGUGACGAUGGGGUGUUUCACUUUGGAGUAGGGUGUGACAACGACAUGGUUUUGAAGGAGGCAGAGGAGGAUGUAAGGUGACGUGGAACGUGGUGCUGAAAAGGUGGAGAGGAAUUUUCACGGUGGUGGGGCGCGAGGAAAGGUGAGACUGGUAAGUGGUGGAAAAAUUUAGAAUCGAUUACAAGUAUUAUUUUGGAUUUGACUUGGUCUUUUCAGAAAUGACAAGGGUUAAAUAUGACAUUUUGAAAUAAUUCCUUCCAAAUCCGAGCACUUCCACAGAUUAAAAAAAAGGGAUGUAUCUCGCAAUUCUCCGCUCUCUCUUCUUCGCAGAUCUGCUGAAACAAACAUUAGAAGUCUUGCAAAUCUAUCGUUAUUCUUCAGGAAAAUCACUUCAUGCGAACACAAGCUUAUAGUAAAAGGAAAAAGAUUUUGGAAAGGAAAAUAAGAUUCUUUUAAAUAAAAAAAAAAUGUGAUAGGUUUAGUAAGCCUUGACAAGAAUCCAAAUUCUAUUAUGGAUAUAUACAUAUAUAUAUAUAUAUAUAUAUAUAUAUAUAUAUAUAUAUAUAUAUAUAUAUAUAUAUAUAUAUAUAUGUCAUGUUUAUUAAUUAAUUUAAGAUUAGUAUCGAUUUUAUAAAAAACAAUAUUAACGUAUUAUUAAAAAGUUAUGUCAAAUUAGAAACCCUUGAAUUAAAAGAUAAAGUUUUAAAAAAUUAUCAUAAUAAUUAAAAAAAUAUUUAAUUUUUUAUUUCCUUUUAACAUAAGCUUGAGUUGAAUUUAUCUUAUUAUAUUAUUUUUCAUCUUGCUACAUUUUAAAUAUUUGUAAAUUAUACAUAGAGAAAGAUGACAAGCAAUACAUUGAUGAUUAUAUAUAUAUAUAUAUAACGUUGUACAUAGAGAAAUGCAUUGUUUUGUUACCAAAUUUGGUCAAAUAUUUUCAAUUCACAUGGUUUUAACUAGUUUUUGUAUGGAAACGCCGAAAAACCUGAAGAUGUCAUAAUCUUUUAUCCUUCACUUACUUGAAGUAAAAUUUCCAUUAUUAAUGGGAUAAUAGAUUGAUUAGCUUUUAAUUUUAGCAAUACAAGUUAAGUAAAAAAAGCAUAGAUGGUUUGAAUUGAUCAAAAACAAUUUUUUUUGAGAAUAAUAGUAAAUAGCAGAAAAUCCUAAACCUUCAACAACGUUACAAAACCAUUUAAGAAAACUAUUAAAAUAGAAAGAAUGGAAUAUUCGCAUAUUGCAGUGAAACAUAAUAUGACUGGGAGUUCCGGUAAUAAUAGUCACUCUCUCAACGGAAUUUACUUGAGGCACAUACCGGUUAUUCCGGUCGUUUACUCUUCUGUCUCUCUUUUCCUACCUUAUUAAAACCCUACCUCACUAAAUCACUUCACCACCUCACUCAUACUUAGUUCUGUUCUCAACUUCUGCUAUUUUUUCUAUCCCUAAUUUUUCUCUCUUCACCAGUUAUGGGUAUGCAAAUAGUCACUACAUUUUUCUCAAUUUUUUCAUUUAUUUUCUCUUCUCUUCGUUUUCACCCCUUUUCCGUUUCUCAUCUUUUUGUUCUUUCUGUUUCGUUUUCCUUUUUUUUUCCAAUGAAUUUCAUGGAUCAGGCAAGGUCAAGAUCGGAAUCAACGGUACACCAUCUUCAUCCUCUUCCUUCAGAUCACUUCAACACUUUUUCAACUGUUUCAUUUUCGUUUUUCUUUUUCAUAUUUAUUUAUUUGAAAUCUAACAGGAUUUGGAAGAAUUGGCCGUUUGGUGGCCAGGGUGGCUCUUCAGAGAGACGAUGUGGAACUCGUUGCUGUUAACGAUCCCUUCAUCACCACCGAUUACAUGGUACACAUCUUCUCUUCUCCCUCGCUGUCACCACUAUAACAUGAUUUUUUUACUGUUCAGAUCGGCAAGCUUUUUCAUUUCUAUAUUGUUAUUAGCCGUUAGAUCUGGUUGUUCACGGUGUUUGGUUGCUUCUGUAGACAUACAUGUUUAAAUACGACAGUGUUCACGGACACUGGAAGCAUCACGAUGUCACCGUGAAAGACUCCAAUACCCUUCUCUUUGGUGAGAAGCCAGUCACUGUUUUUGGACACAGGUCUAUUUUUCACCCUUUUUCAUGACUUUCACUGUUUCCCUUUGCAUUUUUAUGUUGUAAUUUUUCGUCUCUUCGUGCGGUUAAAUCUUUUGUUAAUCCUCAGGAAUCCUGAAGAGAUCCCAUGGGGUACGACCGGAGCUGAUAUCAUUGUUGAGUCCACCGGAGUUUUCACCGAUAAGGACAAGGCCGCCGCACAUUUGAAGGUUUCUAUUUACAGCACUACCCUUUAACUCUGUUACGUAAUUAUUUACACGCGUUGAUAUUUUCUGUGUUCUAUGUUUGAAGUAUUGUAUCCUAAUUUUGCUGCUUUUUUUGAAAUAUUGUUUGAGAUUUAUAUUUUUAGGCGAUUUAGUGUGAGGUGGAAUUUUAAUGUUUGUUUUGUUUGUCUUUUUAUUAAUCCAGGGUGGUGCUAAGAAGGUUAUUAUUUCUGCCCCCAGCAAGGAUGCUCCCAUGUUUGUUGUUGGUGUUAACGAGCACGAGUACAAGCCAGAGCUUGAUAUCAUUUCCAAUGCCAGCUGCACAACCAACUGCCUUGCUCCUCUCGCCAAGGUU
rnacentral:lncRNA from 1 species